rnacentral:rRNA from 1 species
GAAGAACGCUGGCGGCGUGCCUAAUACAUGCAAGUCGAGCGAACAGACGAGGAGCUUGCUCCUCUGACGUUAGCGGCGGACGGGUGAGUAACACGUGGAUAACCUACCUAUAAGACUGGGAUAACUUCGGGAAACCGGAGCUAAUACCGGAUAAUAUAUUGAACCGCAUGGUUCAAUAGUGAAAGACGGUUUUGCUGUCACUUAUAGAUGGAUCCGCGCCGCAUUAGCUAGUUGGUAAGGUAACGGCUUACCAAGGCGACGAUGCGUAGCCGACCUGAGAGGGUGAUCGGCCACACUGGAACUGAGACACGGUCCAGACUCCUACGGGAGGCAGCAGUAGGGAAUCUUCCGCAAUGGGCGAAAGCUUGACGGAGCAACGCCGCGUGAGUGAUGAAGGUCUUCGGAUCGUAAAACUCUGUUAUUAGGGAAGAACAAAUGUGUAAGUAACUAUGCACGUCUUGACGGUACCUAAUCAGAAAGCCACGGCUAACUACGUG